CCAAUAGCGUAUAUUAAAGUUGUUGCAGUUAAAAAGCUCGUAGUUGAAUUUCGGGGUCAGUAGGUUGGUCGUGCCACCGGUACGUACUGGUCUCACUGAUUCCUACUUUCUGAUGAACUGUAAUGCCAUUAAUUUGGUGUUGCGGGGAAUCUGGACUGUUACUUUGAAAAAAUUAGAGUGUUUAAAGCAGGCUCACGCUUGAAUACAUUAGCAUGGAAUAAUGAAAUAGGACGUUCGAUCCUAUUUUGUUGGUUUCUAGGAUUGACGUAAUGAUUAAUAGGGAUAGUUGGGGGCAUUAGUAUUCAAUUGUCAGAGGUGAAAUUCUUGGAUUUAUUGAAGACUAACUACUGCGAAAGCAUUUGCCAAGGAUGUUUUCAUUAAUCAAGAACGAAAGUUAGGGGAUCGAAGACGAUCAGAUACCGUCGUAGUCUUAACCAUAAACUAUGCCGACUAGGGAUCGGAUGAUGUUAAUUUUUUAAUGACUCAUUCGGCGCCUUACG
rnacentral:rRNA from 1 species